rfam:Actinobacteria bacterium 66_15 MPI_scaffold_88, whole genome shotgun sequence.
GUCCGGGUCUCGGGUGGCGGUAUGUCGUGAACCUGGUCAGGUCCGGAAGGAAGCAGCCAUAAGCGGCCUCUGCCGGGUGCCCGGGACCUGGUCCCG